rnacentral:rRNA from 1 species
GACGAACGCUGGCGGCGUGCUUAACACAUGCAAGUCGAGCGGAAAGGCCACUUCGGUGGUACUCGAGCGGCGAACGGGUGAGUAACACGUGAGUAAUCUGCCCCUGGCUUUGGGAUAGCCACCGGAAACGGUGAUUAAUACCGGAUACGACCACUUCUCGCAUGGGAUGGUGGUGGAAAGUUUUUUCGGCCAGGGAUGUGCUCGCGGCCUAUCAGCUUGAUGGUGAGGUAAUGGCUCACCAUGGCUUCGACGGGUAGCCGGCCUGAGAGGGUGACCGGUCACACUGGGCCUGCGGCACGGCCCAGACUCCUACGGGAGGCAGCAGUGGGGAAUAUGGGACAAUGGGCGGAAGCCUGAUCCAGCAACGCCGCGUGAGGGAUGACGGCCUUCGGGUUGUAAACCUCUUUCAGCAGGGACGACGCGCAAGUGACGGUACCUGCAGAAGAAGCACCGGCCAACUACGUGCCAGCCGCCGCAGUAA